AACGAACGCUGGCGGCGUGUUUAAGACAUGCAAGUCGCACGGGACUAUUUGAGUAGCAAUACAAGAAUAGUUUAGUGGCGCACGGGUGAGUAACACGUGAAUUACAUGCCCUGCAGAGGGGGAUAGCCCAGGGAAACUUGGAUUAAUACCCCAUGGUAUCGCAAGAUUAAAGGUGGCCGCAAGGCUGUCGCUGCAGGAUUAGUUCGCGCCCUAUCAGCUUGUUGGUGAGGUAACGGCUCACCAAGGCUACGACGGGUACCUGGUCUGAGAGGACGAUCAGGCACACUGGAACUGAGACACGGUCCAGACACCUACGGGUGGCAGCAGUCGAGAAUAAUUCACAAUGGGGGCAACCCUGAUGGUGCAACGCCGCGUGGAGGAUGAAGGUCUUCGGAUUGUAAACUCCUGUCAUCCGGGAGUAAGACCUGGCGAUGAAUAGUCGACAGGGUUGAUAGUACCGGAAGAGGAAGGGACGGCUAACUUCGUGCCAGCAGCCGCCGCGG
rnacentral:rRNA from 1 species